UUUGCUAAAUUUUUUGGUUUAGCAAGGUACAAGGUAUUUAUAAUGAUAAUAAUUGUGCAUUGGCUUCCACUUUCUUGGCCUUUUUGGUAACCUCCGCUAGCCCUUCCCAUUCAGGCUCCUCUACCUCUAUUGGCUCCACAUGAUUUAUUUUGCAUCUGGCCCGUCUAACAAUCAUAUUUGCCUGGGACUGGCAGGAAAUAAAUCCAAUGUCCCCCAGCCAGUUUGGUGUGGUUAGUGCUGGUUAAAGUGUUUUUUAUACCACUAAAAUGUAAAUGCAACAAUAUAUAACUCUCAAUAAUUUUGUUAGAUCAAAUGUACAUAUCUCACUAAAUUGUAAAGACUACUCUAUAACUGUCUCAGUCCUCUUUGUGGACUCACUUUUUGUAGACUAAAUUAAUAUGCUUUAUUGAAGGCUUUUUGCGUUUUUUUUUCAGCACGUACUGGGCCAAUCCUGCCUACAGUGCUAGAUAGAGAAAAUGGCGUGAAAAGAUCUUGGCAUUAAAACUUUUAAAACACCACAGAGUAAUUAUUAACCUCUGGAAAUGAACUUAUUAAUAGACAACCAUGGUAUUUGCACGUGUCAUUAUUAUUCUUUAUUCUUGUAUUGCUUACAAUUGUUGAAAGUUGAAACUAGUUCACUUAAUAAUGAUUGUACUGUAAGAGAGUAAAGCAGUUGAUAAGUAUAGCCAGUUGACUAAACCAAAUUCACAACUGUGCAUGAAAAAGCUUAAGGGAACUCUGAAUACUGUCUGUUACUUCAUUGUAGUAAUUGCAUCAAAAGUCUUGCCAUUGAUCUCCCAAGUGCUCCAUAUAGCACUAAUAUAUUGUAUGGAGGAGGUUGUUCACUGUCAUCAUCCUUUUGGCAUUGGCCACUUGGCUCAGCACAUUUUUUUUAUUAUAGAGUGCCUAAAUGAACAAGAGAUUUGGCAAGAAAACUGCUACAAGAAUCAUAGUGAUUGAGAAGGAUAGCAAGACUAAGGGUGAGAUUCAUUCUAGAGCUAAUUUCAGACUUCUAAUAUAGAACAGCUAUAAAUAGAGAAAAUGCACUAAUCAUGCCAGAAAGUUCAUUUAGGAUGAAGAGUCUAAAUAUGAAAACAAUGUGAAUUUUUUGUAAACAUCACUCAUUCAUCACUAACUUUUAUAAUUUUAUUGAAUCUUCAUCUGUUCCACUCUUCACUAUAGCCAAGUGGUUGGUCUUUGUUCCAGCAUAGAUUAUAUAUACAUGCUGGGAUAGGAAACAUUCCAACACUCCCAUAUAAAUUCAAUGAGAGUGACAUCACACAAGUGAAACAAUCUGAGUUAUCACUGUCUGCAGUAAUGGAGGACUUUUGCUGAUGAUGAAACAGGUGAGAACUUGCUUUUGCUGCUGAAUAGAAACAUUGAUUUGAUAUCAUGUGAAAGAGAAAACCAUACUGCUCUUCUACUAGCACCAGAGGUCCAGAUAUGAAGUUAUUACGGAAAGCUAUGUAGCAUAACUAAAGGCCUGUGUGCUUUUGAUGAGGUUUUCCCACAUUUAUUGGAAGCCCGUUCUUGUUAUUCCAGUUUGCUCACUUUCUUUCAAUUCAUCUUGUUAUUCUGCAUCGUUUUAUAUACAAAAAUUGUUAUUAAAUGUCAAGUUUCUUGUUGUAAAAAGAAUAAACUGUUCACUGGAGCACCAUUUUGAAAACACAUUCACUCACAACAUGAUCUUCUUUGGGAGGUUUUGUCCUUUCAGAUGGAUAGAGUAUAACUAACUAGGUGGAUGUAUAAUAACGAAUAAUCAAAUGAGUCGUUGUAAAGUCACACUGUCUGCUGGUAUUGAUAAAGUUGUUUUAAAUGCAAGACAGUCCUAAUUUAUCCUAAAAUGGCCUGUGGAAGUGUGGAAUGUAUUUAUAUGAUGUUUCAUAAAUAAUUAACAAUAGAUGUUUUGUCAUCAUUAUGACAUAUUUUUUUAUUAGAGUCAUAGUAAUGAAGCAUUCAAUACUGAACAAGUAAAGUCUGGAAACUCUCUGUAAUUUAUUGUUUCAAAGCAAGAGACAUUAUUAACUGAAUGCUGUUAGAUUAUAAAGCUCCUAACACAUAUCAAGAUGAAGUAAAUUCUAUUUGUAACAAGUUCACUAGUUUGAAUUCUAAUUUAGCAAGAAAGACAGUGUAUAUGCACACACGUAACAUCAUGUGCCUCUGAUAACAGUGAUUUACUUUAUGUGGUUCAAGUAAGCUAUUGUAUCUGAAUCCGAACAUUAAGAGAUAAUUAAGGCAUUAAAGUCUUUACUUUAUAACUCUCCCUCUCUCUUAAUUUCUUUCACCAACUCUCUCAUCUCACCCUGAUUUUUCAUUUUUGUUGCUUUUGUUUAAUUUAACACGAAAUACACAAUUUUCAAAUUGAAAGCAA
rnacentral:lncRNA from 1 species